CUCGCAUCAUGCGCUUGCCUAUUUCAUACUUAUCGCCUCCCUAAAAUGGCUCUUCAUCUCUCGCUCCCUCUUUACUGCCUGAACACGUCUUCAUCUCUCUCCUUCCUCUUUACUACAACUUGCUACCUAACCCUAAUAACAGAGAGAGAAGGUUCGUCUCUGUCUUCUUUUCCCGCCCUCUCUUUCUUUCCUUUUUCUUUAAUCUAUUUUACUCCCUAACCCUAACCUAUCUAGAAAUCUUGGUCACUCCCUUCCAUUUACUCCACCUCCGUUGCUAUAUCGACUUCUCUUCC
rnacentral:lncRNA from 1 species